GACGAACGCUGGCGGCGUGCUUAACACAUGCAAGUCGAACGGAAAGGCCCCUUCGGGGGUACUCGAGUGGCGAACGGGUGAGUAACACGUGAGUAACCUGCCCUUGACUUCGGGAUAACUCCAGGAAACUGGGGCUAAUACCGGAUAGGAAUCCUUGCUGCAUGGUGGGGGUUGGAAAGCUUCGGCGGUUUGGGAUGGACUCGCGGCUUAUCAGCUUGUUGGUGGGGUAGUGGCUUACCAAGGCUUUGACGGGUAGCCGGCCUGAGAGGGCGACCGGCCACAAUGGGGAUGAGAUAAGGCCCAGAAUUCUAAGGGAGGGAGGAGGGGGGAAAAAUGGAAAAAGGGCGGGAAGCUGAUGCAGGAAAGGCGGGGGGGGGAAGACGGGCUUCGGGUUGGAAAACGCCUUUCGCAGGGGAGGAGCUGGUGGUGACGGUACCUGGUGAAGAAGCACCGGCUAACUACGUG
rnacentral:rRNA from 1 species